CAACCAGAAAAGAAACACUGAUAUGUGAGGAGGAAGAGGCGUGUUCACAGAGACCGCCUCUCUGACUUCCUCGUCUCAGAAACUGUGGUCAGUGUGUGUUCAGACACCGGAGUGAGAGUCAGGAUGAAGCUGAACAUCUUCUGCUGCCUGUUGGCCUGCGCUCUGAGCGCUGACGUCACAGCAGAAAUAAGGAAAGUAGCUAGAGAAAAGGAGUCCAUCACCCUCCCUUGUCCUCCCUCUGUGAAGGGUAACGUGACGUGGAGCAGAGAGAGAAAUGGACGUGAAGCUGAAACUCUUACAGCUGAUGGUGACACAGGUGGAGGACACACACGGUUCACAACAUCAGCUGAUAAGUCGCUGAUCAUCCUGAGGCUUGCUGUGUCAGACUCUGGAACAUACCUGUGUAAUAAUGAACCAGUCGCUGUCCUGACAGUGAUCCCAGGUGGCAGGAAACCACCAACACCAGCGAUCACAGAACGGCGACUGCUUCUGAUGGUCGGGACAACUGCUGCACUCAUCAUCAUCAUCCUCAUCACCACAGUUGUUUCCACCAGGACAUGCUGUUCCAAAAAACAAGGAAAUGAAGAAAACAAGAACACCCAUCAUCACGUAGUUCCUGGCAACAAGUUUAAGCCUCCAAGCUGUGAGAAACAGGAAGUGUUGAAUGUACCAGAAGACAACCACAUCUAUCAUUAUAUAGUCGAUUUCAACAGGUUUCAGUCUGAAAAUGGUACGAACUCACACUGUGUCACAGUGUUGGUGUGGUUUCUAUGUAAAUAUGCAGAUUUUAUCAGAAAAUAUAAAUUAAAGCCAGUUUCCACGACUGGUCAUGUAAGUAGGACUUCUCAUUACACUCUGCUUUGCUUCACUUUAAGGUUUUAUCUUAAUGCCGGCUCAACCGAUUGGCAUCGUUACUUUUUCAUUAAAUGGCAGAAUCAAAAUUUUGACUAAAGAAAGAUGAAAAUAAAGCCGUUUACUGUAGAAUAAAAUGGAAUAGCCCUUUAUUGUACAUGUACAACAAAACUGUGAACUUGAUGAAUGUUAACGUUACUCUUCUUGUCUCCAUAAACUAUUUUCAUAUUUAUCAGCUGGGAAAAGUUCUGCUGCAUCAGCAGCUGCUUACUCUUUGGCCAGUUUUCCAGCUCUUUCUCAAAGCUAUAAUCCACAGGGAAAACCUUGGAAGUCUUGAGAAACUUGGAAAAUGAUGGAAGUCCAAGUCCUUCUCAGAAUUAUUAUCCAUUACUGCAGUGAUGAUGAUGAUGAUGAUGAGCAGGAACAGAGUCAAAUCCACUUUUAACUAAGGAAAUGGUUUCAUUUGCGUUUCAUUUUAACACAACUCCUCUUUAAAACUCUGAGUUUGGCAGUCAGUGUGAUUUGUGCUGUAUAAAUAAAACUGAAUUGUCUGAAGUUUAGUAUUUACCUAAAAUCAUUUUUUCUUUUCUUACUUUUAUUUCUAUUCAUCAUUUUAGCCGAACUCCAUCAUAUUCAUAUUUGCUUCAUAUUUACUGAUGAUAUUCUGAUCAGUAUUGAUCAUAAUGAACUAUCAGCAAAUUCACAUAUGAAUCAUAAUUCUGUGUUGAACCCUUACAAGGUCCUUUCUGUCACCAUCCUUCAUUGCCCCUGUUACCUCUGGUGUCCCCCAGGGGUCUGUGCUGGGUCCUUUGCUGUUCUCUUUAUACUUGUUACCCUUGGGCCGAAUCUUUGAUAAAUACAAUUUUUCUUUUCACUUUUAUGCAGAUGACAUUCAAAUCUAUUUUGAACUAGCUGAGGAUGUCAUGUCGUCGUUGCAACACUUCUCCGAUUGUAUGAAUGAAGUUAAAAUCUGGCUACUGAGCAAUUCCCUCAUUCUAACUGAUAAGAAGACUGAAAUUGUAAUCUCUCGGGCUGAACUAACUGGUAUGUUUGGGCCCUUUGCUGACUCCCUUUCUGACACUGUGAGGGACCUGGGUGUUGUCUUGGACAGUUCCUUCAAGCUGGACAAACAUGUGUCCUCCGUAGUUAAAUCGAGUUUCAAUCAAUUACGUCUAAUCUCUAAGGCCAAGCCCUACAUACCACGUAAGGACCUGGGGAAACUUAUCCAUGCCUUUGUUACAUCAAGGUUAGAUUAUUGUAAUUCCCUUUAUACUGGUCUCCAUUCUGCCCUUGUUCACAAACUGCAGCUCGUUCAAAAUGCAGCUGCGCGUCUCUUAACUGGAACUGGCAGGUUUGAGUCUAUUACUCCAGUUCUUUCCGACCUGCACUGGCUCCCUAUU